GAGUUCAGUUAAAUAGGUAGGAUUAGUGGUUGAAACUUCUAAAAACCCUAAUCCCACAACAAUUAGCGUUAUCACAAAUUAAUACGUCAGGAUUAUCUAAUUCAGAUUAAAGCGCAUAACAAAGUAGUUUUUACAGAUGAGCGUGUAGCUCAACUUAAAUUUUGGACAAGUAUAAAAGCAGGGAAUUAAGUGUCCCGUAUAAUAUUCUUAUUCUUGUUGCCUUACCGUCUACACCGAAAAUGAAUAUGUUAUUCAUAGUUUGCAUUUCAGGACUCGUCAUUCAACUCACCCACGGCAAUGCGCUUGGCACGUAACCGUUGGCCGUGCAACCGUUGAAUGAUAUUAACCCGUUCCUUCAUGGUAGGACUCCAGCUGCGGAAGGGGAGUUCCCUUUCAUGGUUUCCUUACAUUAUGCCGGCAGCCAUUUCUGUAGUGGGACCCUAAUUUCUGCUUGGACUGUUCUAACUGCUGCACGAUGUGUAGAAGGGAAAACGGCAAAUUACUUGGCAGUAUUUGCCGGGUCAAAUGAACUCGGCUCUGGCGGCGUUUCGAGACUAUCUUCGGAAUUUGUUAUUCACAACGGAUGGAAUAAUGUCACCAGGGUCAACGACAUUGCACUAAUUAAGUUUUUUUUUACUGAUACAAACUUAUAUAGGAAUUUAAAACUGAGGUGCACUGUGUUAAAGUCCAUCGAGCAAUGACAAACGAUUAGGCACAGGAAUGUCAUAUGAUCAAGUAUAAAAUGAAGCAUCACAUCGCGUCUUAACCUAAUAAAAUAAAUAGGUAGUAUCCUAAGUGAAUGAUGACUCCCUUUUUGCUAAAUGCUUUUUGUUAAAAAAACAUAAAUAAUUUUAUACGAAUCUUCCGUACGAAUGUGCAUUGAAAUGAAUUUUCUGCUUUAUUCUACAGCUCGCGUCGCCAUUUCCAGUACUAUUAAACCCAAGAAUUGGGACUGUUGUGUUAGCCCUGGCAUAUACUGGUGACGGAGUGGAUACUACAGUUUUAGGAUGGGGUUAAGCUUUUAACAUUUCGUACCCCACAAAGUCGAGAGCAUCAACAUCUGUGGGAAUAAUUGGAAUGUGCCGCCGAAGUUUCUAAUCUUGAACCAGGUGAUAUAAUCACAAGUGAUCAAAUUUGUACGCAAUCAUCACCUGGAUAUGGAGCUUGUGAGGAGGAUUAUGGAGGGCCUUUGAUGAGCAGCAUUCCUGGGAUCCAGGUUGGAAUUGUGUCUCACUCGCCGUUAGCAAAAUGUGCCGUCGGUAUGCACAUGCAGAGCUUAAAACUGCUUAAGCGCAUAAAUCUGAGCAAGCGCACCAUUGGUAUUGAACAAACCGAAUCGAAUUGGCAGAGGCACUUGCAUCCGAGGAGGCGAAAACGCCCAGUAAAUUUGGAAAGUGGGGAAUUUGUCAACUAACAAUGGAGGUCUCCCAACGUAUGCUCACAGAUUUGGACCAGACUAGCGUUAAUCAAUCACAAAUAUAAUUAGUAUUAAAUUUGCAAAUGG